rnacentral:rRNA from 1 species
UACGUAGGGUGCAGGCGUUUAAUCGGAAUUACUGGGCGUAAAGCGUGCGCAGGCGGUCUUUUAAGUCAGAUGUGAAAUCCCCGGGCUUAACCUGGGAACUGCGUUUGAAACUGGAAGGCUAGAGUGUGGCAGAGGGGGGUGGAAUUCCGACGUGUAGCAGUGAAAUGCGUAGAGUAUGAUGGAGGAACACCGAUGGCGAAGGCAGCCCCCUGGGCUAACACGUGACGCUCGAUGCACGAAAGCGUGGGGAGCAAACAGG